GGUUAACUGAUGGAAAACUCCACACUUAAUUUGGCUUUGCUCAGCAGUUUGGGGUGGGGGGUUGAUUUUUGUUUUUUGAUCAACAAGCUAUACAAUACUAUCAAGUUAGGUAUAAAAAGAGGAAGAAAUGUGAGCUUGGUGGACACUUGAAGACUUGGAUACCUCUCAAGUUCCUCAGCAGAUGAAAAGCUGGCCUCUGGACAUCUACAGAAAUCCAAUCCAGACUUCCUCAAGACCCUGGCCUGAUGACAUGUUGGACCUGGUGCAAAAUUUGGCAACUCCAAGUCCCCGGACAGAUGAGCCAGUGACUUCUGCCACCAUUGCCCUCACCCUUAGAAAGGGAGUAUGUGUAACUUGCCACCCUGUAGUCAUAACCCAGCUAAUCUGAUGUGCUGAGUUUGGGAUGCCAACAAGAAGAAAUUUUGAUCAAUCUCGGCUGAGAGCUUUGAGCUUUCAUUGGAUCACAGCUCUGGUGCAACCAUAACCCUUGGUGGAGUUGACUGUGGCAAUGUGAAAGUCCCCUUUUAAAAGGAGGUGACCUUCAAGGAGGUGAUUGUAGGAGGGGGAAAAAUUUGAUAGCCCAGAACCCAUUAACAUGCCUACAUCACUGCCCGUAGCUGGAAUGCCAAUUGUUAUGUUCAUUGCUGAAAGCAACGAGAAAGUUUGAGUUAAGGCUUCAGAAAUGGCCUAACAGACUAGUUGGGGAUGGGGCAUAUGAGUGACCACAAGGAGUAAACAUGACCCUGUGCUCCCCUGACUUGAGCUUUUGUCAUAGCAUGCCGUUUUGCAAGAUGGAAAGUCUGACAAUAGUUAACUAUUGCUAUAUGAAAUACAGAUGGUUAACUGAUGGAAAACUCUACACUAUAAGCUGGAAUAUUUCUCACUUAGCUUCUGCUCAGCAGUUUGUUUGUUUAUCUGUUUUGAUGAACAAGCUAUGUAAUAUUAACAAAUUAGAUAUAAAAAGAGAAAGAAAUCUGAUCUUCAUGGACACUUGAACACUUGGACACCUGCCAAGUUCCCCAGCAGAUGGAAAACUGGCCAUACGAUGUCUUCAGAAAUCCACUUGAGACAUCCUCUAAACCCUGGGAACAUCAGACAUGGACCAGCAUCCCAUUGUCCUGGGCGCAGAGCACACUAGAACAAAAAGAUGGUCUCCACCCUAAGAAAUCACACAACAAAAAGUCAGGGAACAGAGAGUUAAGGUUGAAGAAAACCUUGUCUCUGUUUGUGUAUGUCUCUUCAAAUAUGGCAUUUUUGUCAUUAUAUACUUUUGUUGAUUAUUACAAUGUAUAUUUUAAAACUACUUUAUAUAUAGUGCAUAUACUAUAUUGAGCACGAUGUACUACUGCUUAAUACAAAGCAUGCAUCAAACCUAAUAAUAAUAAUUAAUUAACAUUUUGUAGCAGGAACAAACAAAGACGUUUAAGAAAAGAAAAAAAAUCUGCUUCUGUAUUUUGUUAUAUGCAAUGUUGUUGUAGCUAUGUUGGUCUCAGGAUAUCAGAGAGACAAGAUGUGUGCAGCAAUCUGGUCAAAUGACCUUUUAGCUGAAAUGCCCAAGAGUUUAUUUGCCUCUGAGGCAAAAAUGACCAUUGAAACCUUCUGGGGGAGGGAUAGCUCAUUGGUUUGAGCAUUAGUCUGCUAAAUGCAAGGUUGUGAGUUCAAUCCUUAAAGGGGCCACUUAGAGAACUGGGGUAAAAAUCUGUCUGGGAAUUAAUCCUGCUUUGAGCAGGGGCUUGGACUAGAUGACCUCCUGUGGCCCCUUCCAUCCCUGAUAUUCUAUGAUUCUAAAGGGCCAUUCUGGUACCCUAUAUGUUGGCAGCCAAUAUAAAAUUGGUACCUGGAAUGUUAGAAACAGCUAAAGCCAUCCUCCUCCUUGAGCAGUUGAAAAAUCUGAAUACUGAUAUCUGAGCCUUCUCUGAAAUGUUCUGGCCAGGAAGUGGUGAAAAGAAAGUUGAAGGCCAUACAUUUUCGUUCUCAGGUUGCUUCCCCAAGGGUUGCUCCAGCAAGGGGUGGCUGUUGUACUUUCACCCAAUGCCCAACGUGCAUUGCAGCAUUGGCAGUUAAUGAGUGACUGAUCAGUGUCCAAUUCUGUUUCUUCUAGGCUGAUGUAAUUGAACUUUUCCGCUGGUAAGAUGGACAAUAACCUGUUGGCUGUCAGUGUGAUGACAUACACACACCACACUUUUCUUGGCCAUUUUGUCCAACAUGCUGUGUCAGAUUGCUGCUUUGGAUGUAAAUCUUAAUUUCCUACUUGAAUCAUCCUGACAGCAUCCUAUUACAGGCUUCCCAUACCACACUGGAAGCCAAUAACAACCAUAGAAGGCUCUGGUGUAUAGAAAUAACCAUGAGAGGAUGAGACCCUUUCCUAAUUAGCAACUGUUGCUAGAUGGAUAUGGCUACAAGUGCCACAAUGCAGGGUACUAUUGGGAGAGAUAGAGAGAGAGAUGGAUGUUUGGUUAGAAGGUGCUUCCUCCUCCUAGAUAGUUACUUCUGCAAAUUUGAGUUAAUCAGUAGGGGCCAUUAGAUUACAUGACAAACCUCAUCCUCAUCCAUAACUAAACUCUCUUGUUUUAGCCAGGUUUUAUAACUUGAUCUUGCCUAUAAAAUAUUGUGACAUUCACCUCUGGUGUCAUCUGAACCAGUGAUCUGCUAGGUGACUCCAAUCCUCAACUCUGGGAGCCACCCUUACCCUGCUCUGCUGUGAGAACCCCCACUCCUGGGCUGUUCAC